CCUACGGGAGGCAGCAGUGCGGAAUAUUGGUCAAUGGACGGAAGCCUGAACCAGCCAAGUAGCGUGCGGGAUGAAGGCCCUACGUGUCGUAAACCGCUUUUGCACGGGAAUAACACCCUCCACUUGUGCCUGCCUGCAGGUACCGUACGAAUAAGGACCGGCUAAUUCCGUGCCAGCAGCCGCGGUAAUACGGAGGGUCCGAGCGUUAUCCGGAUUCAUUGGGUUAAAAGGGAGCGUAGGCGGGCGUUCACGUCAGCUGUAAAAGCGCGCGGCUCAACCGCGCCCCGCAGUUGAAACUGGAAGUCUUGAGUGCACAACAGGCAGGCGGAAUUCGUGGUGUAGCGGUGAAAUGCAUAGAGAUCACGAGGAACCCCGAUUGCGAAGGCAGCCUGCCGGGGUGCGACUGACGCUGAGGCUCGAAGGUGCGGGUAUCAAACAGGAUUAGAUACCCUAGUAGUC
rnacentral:rRNA from 1 species